rnacentral:rRNA from 1 species
UACGUAGGGGGCAAGCGUUGUCCGGAUUUAUUGGGCGUAAAGGGCGCGUAGGCGGCGCGGGUAGUCAUCGGUGAAAGUUCAGGGCUCAACUCUGAAUCGGCCGGUGAUACUCCCGUGCUCGAGCACUGUAGAGGCAGGUGGAAUUCCGGGUGUAGCGGUGGAAUGCGUAGAGAUCCGGAAGAACACCGGUGGCGAAGGCGGCCUGCUGGGCAGUAGCUGACGCUGAUGCGCGACAGCGUGGGGAGCAAACAGG